rnacentral:rRNA from 1 species
GUGGAAAGAUUCAUCGGUCUUGGAUGGACUCGCGGCCUAUCAGCUUGUUGGUGGGGUAAUGGCCCACCAAGGCGACGACGGGUAGCCGGCCUGAGAGGGUGACCGGCCACACUGGGACUGAGACACGGCCCAGACUCCUACGGGAGGCAGCAGUGGGGAAUAUUGCACAAUGGGCGCAAGCCUGAUGCAGCGACGCCGCGUGAGGGAUGACGGCCUUCGGGUUGUAAACCUCUUUCAGUAGGGAAGAAGCGAAAGUGACGGUACCUGCAGAAGAAGCGCCGGCUAACUACGUGCCAGCAGCCGCGGUAAUACGUAGGGCGCGAGCGUUAUCCGGAAUUAUUGGGCGUAAAGAGCUCGUAGGCGGUUUGUCGCGUCUGCCGUGAAAGUCCGGGGCUUAACCCCGGAUCUGCGGUGGGUACGGGCAGACUGGAGUGCAGUAGGGGAGACUGGAAUUCCUGGUGUAGCGGUGAAAUGCGCAGAUAUCAGGAGGAACACCGAUGGCGAAGGCAGGUCUCUGGGCUGUUACUGACGCUGAGGAGCGAAAGCAUGGGGAGCGAACAGGAUUAGAUACCCUGGUAGUCCAUGCCGUAAACGUUGGGCACUAGGUGUGGGGGCCAUUCCACGGUUUCCGCGCCGCAGCUAACGCA